UACGUAGGGGGCCAGCGUUGUUCGGAAUUACUGGGUGUAAAGGGUUCGUAGGCGGUGUGGCAAGUUGGGAGUGAAAUCUCUGGGCUCAACCCAGAGACGGCUUCCAAAACUGCCGUGCUUGAGUGUGGGAGAGGCUCGUGGAAUUGCAGGUGUAGCGGUGAAAUGCGUAGAUAUCUGCAGGAACACCCGUGGCGAAAGCGGCGAGCUGGACCACUACUGACGCUGAGGAGCGAAAGCGUGGGGAGCGAACAGG
rnacentral:rRNA from 1 species